GAGUUGGAGGUUUACUUUCCAUAUCAGGUGUUCGAGGAGGUGCAGUUUCACUACUCGGUGUCGCUGGUGUUUCAGGAGUUUUGAAAUGACUUGGCGCCCUGGGCGUUGGAGGUUUACUGGCCAUAUCAGGUGUGGGAGGAGAUGUAGUUUCAUUACUGCGUGUCGCUGGUGUUUCAGGAGUUUUGAAAGGACUUGGCGUCCUGGGAGUUGGAGCUUUACUGGCCAUAGUGGGUGUAGGAGGAGGUAUAGUUUUACUACUACGUGUCGUCAGUUUUCCAGUAGUUUUGAGAUGACGUGGCGUCCUGGGAGUUGGGGGUUUACUGUGUAUAUUGGGUGUAGGGGGGGAUCCAAUUUCACUAUAGGGU